UCAGUGCCUAGAGUGGGAUAAAGUUUCUCCAAAAUGUUAGGAAUGACAAGAUUUGGUCGCAUUACUGCUAAAUACUGCAACGCAUGGACGAAAUUGGGUGAGCAAUAUCUGUUAAAAAUCGCAAUCAUCGUCACUGGCAUCAUGUUGUUGACAAAGAUAAUUUACCAAAACAGAAGCGAUCCAUUCACCAAUUAAAUCUACGUCCAUGUUAUGGUUAUUCGUGCAUACAGACUUUUUGUAAUGAACUGGCAAAUUCAGAGUGCGUACGAAUCGCGUGAACAUGAUGGGUAUGUAUUGAUCCCAAUCGAUGUAUCCAAUGUUAUUAGAUGCUAAUUUUGCUAUCAAGCGCAUAAGGUCAUUUUCCCAAUAAUGUGUAUUAUAGCAAACUUCCCAAAGUUUCAUAAACUCGUGAAGCCAUAACUCAUGACCAAUUGCAUGUUGCUCUACAGGCAAUUGUACUGGUAAAAACCAUUGAAGCAGUUUGAUCGUCAUUUUCAUAGUUUGUAUAUCUAAAGGGCAUAGUUUGGGUCUGAGUUUGUCCAAUAUUUGUUGAGUUGCUUUUGCCUAAAAAAAAUCGUUUUUCAUAAAUGCAUGUUCUUUAUUCUUUCGUUGUUUAAAACUAUAUUGCGCAAACAAAAAAUAAAUAAUAAGUUUAUUCAUGUGAUUGAUCAUAUAAAUCUACGUAAGUUUGUUACUUUGACAUCUUUUUUUGAAUAUGAAUUUUUUAAGUAAAAAACUGUGAUAUAAAUAAUAUGAAUAGUUAAUUGGAUCAAUAUAAAACAUAUACAUGUGACAUUGCAUAUUUUUCUUUUGUCUAAGUAUCUGAUUCAUAUAUGUUAUUUAAAAUUUUUUACUUUAAAUCAUUUAUUUAUAACUAAAAAAGUAAUAAUAACCUAUAAAUAUGUCAUAUUUUGAAUUCUGAAAUGUGUUACUUACAGGAAAAUAUAUCUUUGCUUUUUCAACUAAACUGUAUAAUGUAUUUUCGAAAGAUGGAGGAUAUCGAUGCAAUGAAAAGUGCUUGAGCUUUCGAGUAAGUACAGUGUGGCAUAAUUCAUACAAUGGUUCCCACUGUAGUUCCAAGUCACUUGGAGGAAUGGUCUCUUUUUUUCUGUAUUAUAAAAAUAUAAAUAUCGUUAUAUGAAAUAAA